CCACACAUGCCGCCGGCUGUGGGUUAGUCAUGUUGGUGAAGGGUUGGUUGCCUCUGGUUACAGUUGCGUUGGUUAACAACACUGACGUGGUUACCCGUAGUUACCCAUUGAUCAUUUCUAAUUUGACAUAUAUAUAUAUUGUCCUGGUCAUGGUCAGGGUUGUCAGGUUGUCAGGGAGGUACCUAGUCAGUUGUCAUGGUUGUCAUGGAGAUAGAGUAUGGAACCUCAGCUAUGAGGUUAGACUUUCACAUGGAGGACAGGAGGAUACCUAGUCAGUUGUCAUGGAGAUACCUAGUCAGUUGUCAUGGAGAUACGGUAUGGAACCUCAACUAUGAGGUUAGACUUUCACACGGAGGACAGGAGGAUACCUAGUCAGUUGUCAUGGAGAUACCUAGUCAGUUGUCAUGGAGAUACCUAGUCAGUUGUCAUGGAGAUACGGUAUGGAACCUCAACUAUGAGGUUAGACUUUCACACGGAGGACAGGAGGAUACCUAGUCAGUUGUCAUGGAGAUACCUAGUCAGUUGUCAUGGAGAUACCUAGUCAGUUGUACAACUGAAUGCAUUCAUCUGAAAUAUGUCUUCCGCAUUUAACCCAAACCCCUUCUGAAUCAGCUUUAGCGUCUCGGGGGGAACUUUGGUCUGCUUUCCCUGAAGCUGGAGAGCACGAGUGGGGUUUUACAGAGCAAGCCAGACAGACUACUAAAUAGGGUUGCAAACAUUUCCGGGAAACUUUCCCAUAAUUCCCUGGUUUUCCAGGGAUCUUGGUUGCAGGAUGUCCAGCUAAUUCCCCCGUAAAUUCAAGGGAUCUUCUAACCAGGAUUUCUGGGAAACCAGGGAAUUUUGGGGAAGUUACCAUAAUUUUGCAACCUUAAGAAAAACACAUGGAGAGUGUUUAAUAAUGGACAGUUAUAGAGGACAGGAGGUUUAAUAAUGGACAGUUAUAGAGGACAGGAGGUUUAAUAAUGGACAGUUAUGGAGGACAGGAGGUUAUAGAGGACAGGAGGUUUAAUAAUGGGCAGUUAUAGAGGACAGGAGGUUAUAGAGGACAGGAGGUUAUAGAGGACAGGAGGUUUAAUAAUGGACAGUUAUAGAGGACAGGAGGUUAUAGAGGACAGGAGGUUUAGUAAUGGGCAGUUAUAGAGGACAGGUGGUUAUAGAGGACAGGAGGUUAUAGAGGACAGGAGGUUUAAUAAUGGACAGUUAUAGAGUACAGGAGGUUAUAGAGGAUAGGAGGUUAUAGAGGACAGGAGGUUUAAUAAUGGACAGUUAUAGAGGACAGGAGGUUUAGUAAUGGGCAGUUAUAGAGGACAGGAGGUUAUAGAGGACAGGAGGUUUAAUAAUGAGCAGAUAUAGAGGACAGGAGGUUUAAUAAUGGGCAGUUAUAGAGGACAGGAGGUUAUAGAGGACAGGAGGUUAUAGAGGACAGGAGGUUUAAUAAUGAGCAGUUAUAGAGGACAGGAGGUUUAGUAAUGGGCAGUUAUAGAGGACAGGAGGUUUAGUAAUGGGC